AUGAAGAAGUACAAAGACCACCUCGCCUUGCUGUAUAAGGCGCACGAGAAACUCAAGGAUGACCUCAAUGCGGUGCUGAACGUCCCACUAAUGCCAUCAGAAGUUGAACGAGCAUGGAAGGACCUCAUUCCGAAAUUCAACAUGCAAAACGAUGAAGUGAUGAAUUCGCUCUGGGAUGACAGGCACGAGUGGAUUUCGGCUUACUACCAGGAAAUUUUCUGUGCUCGGAUGACUUGCACGCAGAGAAGCAAGAGCAUGAACCGCAUACUGAAGAAAAACUUUGUCAAAGUGAAGCAUGAUCUCCAUCUAUUUGCUGAGCAGGUGGACAACCACAUUCGUACCAGGAAGGCCGUCGAGCACGCAGAGACAGUAGCAAAUGAGUCAGAGGUAAAGACAACAACCCAGUUUGGGUUCAAAGUUCAGCUAUCAAAAGUGUAUACAAGGGCAGUGUUUGCAGAUUUCAAAGAAGCACUCUACCGGAGCACUACAUUCAGAGAAGAACGGUGCCCUGAGAACCCAACAAAGUAUCUCAUACACCACUAAAAUAGAUCGGAUGCAUUUGACCGGGCAAGGCAUAAUUUCCAAGUGGUCGCCGAUGAACAGAAAGGUGUCUACGAAUGUGAGUGCAAACUCUGGACACACAGAGGGCUCUUUUGCGUCCAUGUGUUAUGCAUGCUUUCUCAUUUGAGAGUACUCAAGAUUCCUGAGGUGUACAUCAUGAAAAGAUACACCUGGAACGCAAGAUCAAAUGCAACAUUUGACAGAAGAGACUACGAACAAACAACACCAGAUGGAAGCUCACUUUUUUGCCAUAGAAAAUUGCUGACAGAAACAAUAAUGGACCUUGCAAACAGAGCGACAAGGUCCGAUGUUGGGUGCCACAAAGCAUUGUCUGGUAUGAGGGCACUGAUUGAGGAAGUUGAUGUGGUCAACGAAGAAGAAGACGAAGCAGCAAAACUAAAGCAAGCAGAGAAAUCCCAGCAUGCCAAUAAUACCGAGCAAGUAGAAAAUAACGAACAUAGCGCAACUGGUGCUAUAAAAAAAGAAACAAUUCUUGCACCUCCUGUUUCAAACACAAGAAGAAGGAAGAAAGGGGGCGAUGCAACCCAGAAAAGGUUGCAUGCAAGGAGAAAAAUUAUGACAAAAACAGUAAGCCACAGCCUGAACUGGACAGUGAUGGUCACCCACUGGGAAUAA
rnacentral:rRNA from 1 species